rnacentral:lncRNA from 1 species
GGGAGAAUGGAAAGCAGACCUUUCUUCCCCUGUGCAGAGGCCUCAUAGCUCACGGCAUAUGUAUGUGGAUUUGUGCUAGAGAACACAGAACAGAAAUUAGGGGGAUUCAGAAGGUAGGUGGAGAGAAAAUGCACACUAUAGGAUGCUUCUUCCACACCUCCUCCUGUGUUAGAAUUGAGGCUCCAGAAUGUCUCCCCAUGCUAGAGCCACUCCCGAGUCUCCUCCCGGCCCACGCUCCUCCUCUGACCCACAGCUUUGACCCAAGCACAUGUUCCUCCUUGAGGAAGUGUAUUUCAGGCAGACCCAUCAGACCUACCGCCAGCUCUGAGGUGCCCUCUCUUAUUCCUUCAUCGACACAGAUGGUUGGCCACCAUAUUUCACCCCGGCUGCUGUGGAUGAGCCCUUGGGCUCUGGAGCCUGUGACCUGGAGAACUGCAACCAAUUGUGGAAUUGCUUCCUCCUGCCUGUGUUCACGGGUUUGGAGGAAGAACACAGCUGCCAGGGAAGUAAGGACGCGCUAAAAGGAUUGGAACAUGGAGCGGGCCCUGGAUCCAGGAGGAGGAAGAGGCAGGUGCCUGUGGAUGGAAGGAAGCCCUUUCUACAUCAUGGAAGGAGAAGGUGAGGUGGGUCACCCUGAGCCCUCCCUGUAGGAGGAUGUAAAAGGCAGGAGCCCCAGUAGGGAGAGACCUGCUCUGCACUGCAGACAAUUCUCCUUAAACAUAUUGUUCUUCAUUAUUUUCCCAAGUAAUGCACAGACCCCUGCUACAGGCGUGCAAAGAGCAUGCUUCCUUUAUCCCUCCUGUCAAAUCCCAAUCUGUAACCCUUUAGGUGUGUGUUCCUCCAGAACCUUCCAUGCAUCCCAUGUCUGGUGUUGAGACCGUCUGUCUCCAUCACCCAUGUGGAUAUCUACUGCCUCCAUGAGUGAUAUCUGCAGCAGUUGUUAGCAAGGAUCGCUCCCUCUUCCUUGAAGCUCUCUCUGCUCUUGGGUUCCAGUUUCUAUCUCUGCCCCUUCAGGUUCUUUGCCUUACCCCCUGUCCUCCCUUGCCUACCAAGCUGGGUCCUCCUCAUUCAAGUGACCUCUAAAGGAGGGAGUAACCAUGGCUCUCCCCUCAUUGAUUCCUCCAGCCCCACAGCUCUACAUAAUGUCUGGAAGAAGAUGGCUCUCUUCUUAUUUGUAAGAGGGAGCUAAGCAUUGGGUACACAUGGGCAUACAGAUAGGAAGAGAAGACAGCAGGGACUUCUAGAGAGGGGAGGUGGGGAAGGGCUGAAAACCAUCUCUUGGGUACUACACUCACCACCUGAGUGAUGGGAUCAUACCCCAAACCUCAGCAUCAUGCAAUAAACCCUUGUAACGAGCCUACACAUGUACUCCCUAAAUCUAAAAUAAAAUUUGAAAUUAUUUUUUAAAAAGAAGAUGACUCUCAAAUAUGUUUCUACAGACUGAAGCUGGACCACCAACCACCCACCUGACACCUCAGUCUAAAUCAGCCAUGCACACUGGUUCAAAGAAGAGCCCUUGACUUUGCCUCUGCCAAG